rnacentral:rRNA from 1 species
UACGUAGGUGGCGAGCGUUGUCCGGAUUUACUGGGCGUAAAGGGCGUCGCAGGCGGUUUGUUAAGUGCAGGGUGAAAGCUCCCGGCUCAACUGGGAGAGGUCCUUGCAUACUGGCGAACUCGAGGGAGGCAGAGGAAAGUGGAAUUCCCGGUGUAGUGGUGAUAUGCGUAGAUAUCGGGAGGAACACCUGUGGCGAAGGCGGCUUUCUGGGCCUUACCUGACGCUGAGACGCGAAAGCGUGGGGAGCGAACCGG